AUCGGAAAAAAUAGCCUAACAUCAUGCUUUUUUGAGUACCAGACCAUAACGCGUGAUGGCUUUUUGAGCAUCGCUCUCAGUCCGACGAAAGGAGGUUCCAAAGCCAGCCCACAGAGUGAUAGUAGAAAAAGUAAGAGCUCCUAAAAUUGGGACAGGGAAAGCAUUAUCCCAGCGAAAGUCGUACGCGAUAAGCCAUGCCUGUGUUAUCUCUUUCUGCGAUGCCUUCCUUUCGUCGCACUGACAAAGACUGCGCUGAAAAAUCCUGUGAGAGCUCCGUAGAGCAUGACGUUCGGUUAUCUUUUCCGAUGGGAGACCUCCUGAAUAUCCCUGUCAAUUAUCAUUAACUUGAGUAAAUUAAGCACGCUCUUCACAUUGGUGGGGGUGAAAAAGUGACAUUUACUUGGCAAAUUUCGGACUUAAGCUCGCAAAAAUGUCAAAAACCCAAUAAGAACAAAUGCCGUUGACCGCGCAUGACUCUACGUGGUGUAGUUUUUUAUGAUAAUUCAAUGACAUGUUUUCUGGGACACCCUGUAUACGACGAAGUAAGUGCCGACACGUUACACGUUGCAUAAUGUAAAAACCCCGAGACUAGGGAACACGAAGGGACAGACACAACACGAAGUCUCAACUUCCCUUCCCUUCGUGUUCCCUAGUCUCGGGGUUGUUACAUUAUGCAUCAUCUUCACCAACUCGCUUGCUUCCUAGCCAUUUUUUCACGUUACACGUAUUUAUACAGUGCCCAGAACAAGAUGACGCAAGGGAAAGACUGUCCCGGGCACUUCAAGCACUGGACAAAAGACCAUUAUCUUACUGUAAAGUAAUGGGAAGAUGGCCCACAAAAGAACAAGACACGAAGCCACUCAAGGCACAGUGUGUCUACCUAAAAGAAAGCCGCUACUAGCAGCCACAUAUCAUAUACCUCAAAACCAGCUAAAUGAGAUGGAGCUGCAGGCGCCCUUAGGGCAGCCACCCUGCUCCAAGUCAUUCCCCCUUGUUUUCUUUUUUAGCAGUUAAUUACUUCUACUACUAAGCAGUAAACAGUGCCCACAGUUAUGGUAAUGCCAUAUGUAUAAUACGCAGAAAGCUCACAUCUAGUAUUGCAAUGUAGUCUCGUUCUCAGGCGAACACCCACACGGCCCACGCCAACACCACCUAGACUGCUGACUCGUCGACGUGACGUAACAACCAGGGAAAGGUGGCGUUGGCACAGCUCUCCGUUUGCUCACUCACUUGCCACAUUGAGCAUGAGUGAGCAUCCUCCUGCGUGAGUUUUGCCGGGGUAUGGGUUUGGCUGGAUAAGAGGUUCACAGAGAGAGUUUGUUCGUUCGAGAGAGGCCGCGAACAGAAGGAGCGCGCAGGCGCAGCAGAGAAGUAGGGAGAGCCUCCAUCGAACAGCGGCCAGCGCUGGGUUACUUCGCAAAAAACACUGUUGUUUCGGAAUGCACAGGUAAACAGGAAAACUAAUAAUACGGUUAUUAAAAUAACGAAGUUCCGAUGUAAUA